AUCUCAUUGGCUUAAUGGUAAAGCAAAAUACUUCUAAUAUUUUGUAUUCUAGUUCGAUUCUGGAAUGAGGUU